rnacentral:rRNA from 1 species
AUCCUUGAAAGAGUGCGUAAUAGCUCACUGGUCGAGUGGUUGUGCGCCGACAAUGUAGUGGGGCUUAAGUGCACCGCCGAAGCCGCGGAAACCACGUUUGUGGUUUGGUAGGGGAGCGUCGUGUGCUCGUGGAAGCUGCUGGGUGACUGGUGGUGGAGGGUAUGCGAGUGAGAAUGCAGGCAUGAGUAGCGAAUGACAAGUGAGAAUCUUGUCCGCCGGAUGACUAAGGGUUCCUGGGUUAAGCUUUUCUUCCCAGGGUGAGUCGGGGCCUAAGGCGAGGCCGUCAGGCGUAGUCGAUGGAUAACGGGUUGAUAUUCCCGUACCCGUGCAUGCGCGCCCAUGGUGAAUCAGUGAUACUAACCGCCCUGAAGCACACGUGGCAGCCUUUUGGGUUGUUGUGUGUGUGGAUGCGUGGGGCCUGAUCUGGUAGUAGUCAAGUGAUGGGGUGACGCAGUGUGGUAGCCGAGCCACUGAGUGGAUUGUGGUGUAAGCGUGUAGCCCGGUAUCUAGGUAAAUCCGGAUGCCCUGUGGGGUGAGGCGUGAUGCGUACCCGUUGUGGGGAUGUUGGUGAUCCAUUGCUGUCGAGAAAAGCCUCUAGCGAUGUGUGUGUGCGGCCCGUACCCGAAACCGACACAGGUGGUCAGGUAGAGAAUACUAAGGCGACGGGUGAACUGUGGUUAAGGAAUUCGGCAAAAUGCCCCCGUAACUUCGGGAGAAGGGGGACCACUGCUGGUGACAGACUGGUUGAGCUGGUGGUGGUCGCAGAGAGUAGAGGGAAGCGACUGUUUACUAAAAACACAGGUCCGUGCGAAGACGUGAAGUCGAGGUAUACGGACUGACGCCUGCCCGGUGCUGGAAGGUUAAGAGGACCUGUUAGGCCGCCUUUGGUGGUCGAAGCGGAGAAUUUAAGCCCCAGUAAACGGCGGUGGUAACUAUAACCAUCCUAAGGUAGCGAAAUUCCUUGUCGGGUAAGUUCCGACCUGCACGAAUGGCGUAACGACUUCUCUGCUGUCUCAACCACAGGCCCGGUGAAAUUGCAGUACGAGUAAAGAUGCUCGUUACGCGCGGCAGGACGAAAAGACCCCGGGACCUUCACUAUAGCUUGGUAUUGGUGUUUGGUUCGGUUUGUGUAGGAUAGGUGGGAGACUGUGAAGCGGCCACGCUAGUGGUGGUGGAGUCGUUGGUGAAAUACCACUCUGAUCGUAUUGAGCAUCUCAACCUCGGCCCAUGAUCUGGGUUAGGGACAGUGCCUGGUGGGUAGUUUAACUGGGGCGGUUGCCUCCUAAAUGGUAACGGAGGCGCCCAAAGGUUCCCUCAGCCUGGUUGGCAAUCAGGUGGUGAGUGUAAGUGCACAAGGGAGCUUGACUGUGAGACAGACAUGUCGAGCAGGGACGAAAGUCGGGACUAGUGAUCCGGCACCUACUUGUGGAUGUGGUGUCGCUCAACGGAUAAAAGGUACCCCGGGGAUAACAGGCUGAUCUUCCCCAAGAGUCCAUAUCGACGGGAUGGUUUGGCACCUCGAUGUCGGCUCGUCGCAUCCUGGGGCUGGAGUAGGUCCCAAGGGUUGGGCUGUUCGCCCAUUAAAGCGGCACGCGAGCUGGGUUCAGAACGUCGUGAGACAGUUCGGUCUCUAUCCGCCGCGCGCGUUGAAACUUGAAGAAGGCUGUCCCUAGUACGAGAGGACCGGGACGGACGUACCUCUGGUGUGCCAGUUGUUCCGCCAGGAGCAUAGCUGGUUGGCUACGUACGGAAGGGAUAACCGCUGAAAGCAUCUAAGCGGGAAGCCUGUUUUAAGAUGAGGUUUCGUAUUUGAGGUCCCCCACAGACGAUGGGGUUGAUAGGCCAGACCUGGACGCACCGCAAGGUGUGAAGGCUACUGGUACUAAUAGACCAAAACAAACACAC